ensembl:lncRNA
CAGAUUCAUAUUAUUUAAUUUAUUUUUGUUAUACACAUUCCUUCAUCAAGUGUUCAUUUGGAGUGUUCAGAUUGUUAGUUAUACAGGUAUGAUAGAUAUACAACGACAGUAACAAUGGAUAACAUGCUACUGUUCCAAUGGUCCUAACCACAGCACAACGACACUCUUACUGAUUGGUUAGCCGUGAGGUUGCCGCGCUGACGUCACUACACUACUGUGUGUGAUUGGAGGAGAGAGAACUCAAGCGGUGUGAUGUCGCGGAACUACAGAUUGCCCCUUUAAACCAGUGGCCACCAACCCUAGAAGUGCAUCAGUCCCAGAUUGCCCCUUUAAACUAGUAGCCACCAACCCUAGAAGACCAUCAGUCCCAGAUUACCCAUUUAAACCAGUGGCCACCAACCUCGGACGAGCAUCAGUCCCAGAUUGCCCCUUUAACCUAGUAGCCACCAACCCUAGAAGAUCAUCAGUCCCAGAUUGCCCCUUUAAACCAGUGGCCACCAACCCUAGAAGAUCAUCAGUCCCAGAUUACCCAUUUAAACUAGUAGCCACCAACCCUAGAAGACCAUCAGUCCCAGAUUGCCCCUUUAAACUAGUAGCCACCAACCCUAGAAGACCAUCAGUCCCAGAUUGCCCCUUUAAACCAGUGGCCACCAACCCUAGAAGUGCAUCAGUCCCAGAUUGUCCCCCCUUUAAACCAGUGGCCACCAACCCUAGAAGUGCAUCAAUCAGUGAUUGCCCCUUUUAAACCAGUGGCCACCAACCCUAGAAGUGCAUCAGUCCCAGAUUACCCCUUUAAACCAGUGGCCACCAACCCUAGAAGAGCAUCAGUCCCAGAUUGCCCCUUUAAACUAGUAGCCACCAACCCUAGAAGUGCAUCAGUCCCAGAUUGCCCCUUUAAACUAGUAGCCACCAACCCUAGAAGUGCAUCAGUCCCAGAUUACCCAUUUAAACCAGUGGCCACCAACUCUAGAAGACCAUCAUUACAAGCUGUGCAGGCUUUAAUUCCAGCCCUGCACUAAACCCACCUGAUUUUGACUAAUCCACUUGAUUAGCUAUAUUCAAAGUGUGUUGGUGGUAGUCAGGAACAAAAUCCUGCUUAGUCUCACUACAUAGCUAUGACUCUAUGUAAGGGUUGACCACUGAGAUAACUAGGUUACAGACAGACAGACAUGAGAAUACGAUCAACCUAGUAUUCCCUUUAUAGGACACUACUUCUGACCAGAGCCUUAUGGUCCCAUGUCAAAAGUAGUGCACUAUAUAGGGAAAAAGGUCAAUUUGGGCCUGUAUGAGUGGAUGGAUGGAAGCACAAGUGAUUUAGUAGCUUGGGGUAGAAGUUGCUCUUAGGCACAGAUCUAGGAUCAGCUUGUCUAGGAGUGUCCAGGUGUCACCAGGUGUCUAGAUUAAUCCAGAUGGGUAACCAGGUGUCUAGAUUCAUCCAGAUGGGUCACCAGGUGUCUAGAUUCAUCCAGAUGGGUCACCAGGUGUCUAGAUGAAUCCAGAUAGGUCACCAGGUGUCUAGAUUAAUCCAGAUGGGUCACCAGAUGUCUAGAUUAAUCCAGAUGAGUCACCAGGUGUCUAGAUCUGUCCAGAUGAGUCACCAGGUGUCUAGAUGAGUCACCAGGUGUCUAGAUUAAUCCAGAUGGUGUCUAGAUUAAUCCAGAUGGGUCACCAGGUGUCUAGAUGAAUCCAGAUGAGUCACCAGGUGUCUAGAUGGGUCCAGAUGAGUCACCAGGUGUCUAGAUUAAUCCAGAUGGGUCACCAGGUGUCUAGAUUAAUCCAGAUGGGUCACCAGGUGUCUAGAUGUGUCCAGGUGUCACCAGGUGUCUAGAUUAAUCCAGAUGGGUCACCAGGUGUCUAAAUUAAUCCAGAUGGGUCACCAGGUGUCUAGAUGGGUCACCAGGUGUCUAGAUUAAUAUAGAUGGGUCACCAGGUGUCUAGAUUAAUCCAGAUGAGUCACCAGGUGUCUAGAUUAAUCCAGAUGGGUCACCAGGUGUCUAGAUGUGUCCAGAUGAGUCACCAGGUGUCUAGAUGGGUCACCAGGUGGUGUCUAGAUGUGUCCAGGUGUCACCAGGUGUCUAGAUUAAUCCAGAUGAGUCACCAGGUGUCCAGAAUUGUCCAGAUGAGUCACCAGGUGUCUAGAUUAAUCCAGAUGAGUCACCAGGUGUCUAGAUUAAUCCAGAUGAGUCACCAGGUGUCUAGAUUCAUCCAGAUGAGUCACCAGGUGUCUAGAUUAAUCCAGGUGGGUCACCAGGUGUCUAGAUUAAUCCAGAUGGGUCACCAGGUGUCUAGAUUAAUCCAGAUGAGUCACCAGGUGUCUAGAUGUGUCCACUCUCACCAGGUGUGUGUAAAGGUGUCCAGAAGUGUCCACUCUCACCAGCUGUGUGUAAAGGUGUCCAGAAGUGUCCACUCUCACCAGGUGUGUGUAAAGGUGUCCUGUGUAUCCAGGUGUGCUGAGGUGUUGUGAUCAUAAAGGGAAUCCGUUAAACGGGACGUCUAGUGACGUUCAUCUUAUAGACUGAUCUCAGGCCUGUCCCAACUCAUUCAUCUCAUAGACUGAUCUCAGGCCUGUCCAACUCAUUCCCCUUAUAGACUGAUCUCAGGCCUGUCCAACUCAUUCCCCUUUUAGACUGAUCUCAGGCCUGUCCCAACUCAUUCACCUUAUAGACUGAUCUCAGGCCUGUCCAACUCAUUCAUCUCAUAGACUGAUCUCAGGCCUGUCCAACUCAUUCCCCUUAUAGACUGAUCUCAGGCCUGUCCAACUCAUUCACCUUAGAUAGCGAACUCAGGGGUGUCCAACUAAUUCCCCUUAUAGACUGAUCUCAGGCCUGUCCAACUCAAUCACCUUAUAGACUGAUCUCGGGCCUGUCCCAACUCAUUCAUCUUAUAGACUGAUCUCAGGCCUGUCCAACUCAUUCCCCUUAGAUAGCGAACUCAGGGGUGUCCAACUAAUUCCCCUUAUAGACUGAUCUCAGGCCUGUCCAACUCAUUCACCUUAUAGACUGAUCUCAGGCCUGUCCAACUCAUUCAUCUUAUAGACUGAUCUCAGGCCUGUCCAACUCAUUCCCCUUAUAGACUGAUCUCAGGCCUGUCCAACUCAUUCACCUUAGAUAGCGAACUCAGGGGUGUCCAACUAAUUCCCCUUAUAGACUGAUCUCAGGCCUGUCCAACUCAAUCACCUUAUAGACUGAUCUCGGGCCUGUCCCAACUCAUUCAUCUUAUAGACUGAUCUCAGGCCUGUCCAACUCAUUCCCCUUAGAUAGCGAACUCAGGGGUGUCCAACUAAUUCCCCUUAUAGACUGAUCUCAGGCCUGUCCAACUCAUUCACCUUAUAGACUGAUCUCAGGCCUGUCCAACUCAUUCAUCUUAUAGACUGAUCUCAGGCCUGUCCAACUAAUUCCCCUUAUAGACUGAUCUCAGGCCUGUCCAACUCAUUCACCUUAUAGAAUGAUCUCAGGCCUGUCAAACUCAUUCCCCUUAUAGACUGAUCUCAGGCCUGUCCCAACUCAUUCAUCUCAUACACUGAUAUCAGGCCUGUCCAACUCAUUCACCUUAUAGACUGAUCUCAGGCCUGUCCAACUCAUUCACCUUAGAUAGCGAACUCAGGGGUGUCCAACUACUUCACCUUAUAGACUGAUCUCAGGCCUGUCCCAACUCAUUCACCUUAUAGACUGAUCUCAGGCCUGUCCAAC